rnacentral:lncRNA from 1 species
AUGAGCGGCCCGAGCAGAACCGAGCCCCGGCGGGGCCCGUCCCGCCCCGGGCACAGUCGGAGCAGGAGCGGCAGCGCCGGGCACGGCCCGGAGCGGCUCCUCCGGCCCGCGGCGAUGCAGCCGCGCUCGUCCCGCGGGCGGGAGCGCGCACCGGGGGCCGCCGCCCGGCGGGAGCGCGCACCGGGGGCCGCCGCCCGGCGGGAGCGCGCACCGGGGGCCGCCGCCCGGCGGGAGCGCGCACCGGGGGCCGCCGCCCGGCGGGAGCGCGCACCGGGGGCCGCCGCCCGGCGGGAGCGCGCACCGGGGGCCGCCGCACUCGCAGCGCCGCUCCGUGUCCGCCAGAGGGCGCCCCUCCCGGGGGGCGCUGAGGGAGCGGCGCCCCUGAGGGGUCCCGGGGCCGGCCCAGGCGGUCCCCGCGCCCCGCCCGCUUCCAGCCGCGAUCCAGCGCCUGCUCCGGGAAAGCGCCGCCUCCUGCCGGGCCCGGCCCCGGCACAGCCCCGGCUCCCCGCGGCCGCGGCGGGACCUGCCCGGAGCCCCGGCGGGAGCGCAGCCCCGCACCGGCCGCGGUCCGAGCGGGAGCGGCAGCGCCGGGCUCGGUCCGCGCCCGUCCCGGAGCGGCUCCGCCUCCCCGCGGCGAUUCCUGUCCCGAUCCCUGCCCCAAUCCCGCCCCGGUCUUGCGGCUCCAGGACCCACCGCCCACUCGCCCCGGGACCCCCAGCAGACACCGGCAGGACCCGGACCCGUAUUCCCCGGCCCGGGUCCCGUUCCCGGCCCCACCUCAGCGCCGCGAGCUCCGCACAGCACCGGGAGCAGCCCCGGCCCAGGGCCCGCACAGCGCUCCGAGCGCCGGUCCCGCCGCAUCCCGGGAUGAGCAUCCCCCGUCCAAAGCGGAGCGGGCGCGGAUCCGCCGGGAUUUACGGGCGGGGCGGGGCGGGGCGGGGCGGGCUCAGGUGUGAAGGGCGGGGCGGGCUCAGGUGUGAAGGGCGGGGCGGGCUCAGGUGUGAAGGGCGGGGCGGGCUCAGGUGUGAAGGGCGGGCCCGGCUCAGGUGUGAAGGGCGGGCCCGGCUCAGGUGUGAAGGGCGGGCCCGGCUCAGGUGUGAAGGGCGGGGCGGGCUCAGGUGUGAAGGGCGGGGCGGGCUCAGGUGCGCGGCCCCAGAGCGGCUGCGCGGGGCGGGGCUGAGGGGAUUUAAGCCCCGGGAAUCGCCUCAAGAGCCAUUUGCCCCUCAGCGAUCGGUGGGGGAGGUUGCGGCCGGGUCGGGCUCUUUAUUUCUCUUCCUUUUUAUCUCUUCUCUGCUUCUCUUUCUCUAUACCUCUCCUCUACCCCCUCCCUUUCUCCCCUCCCCUACCCCCUACACCCUCCCCCCCCCUACCCCCCCCUCCCUCUCCCCCCUAGCCCUCCCCUCCUUCCCCCCCCGGCCCGGCGCGGUCCCCCCCUACUCCCCCUCUUCCUCUCCCCCUACACACCCCAACCCUGCCAUACCCCUCCACCUUUCUCCUCGUCCUUCCACGUUUCUUCCCCCACCCGGCUCCCACCUGGCCCCUCUCCCUGCUCUCCUUCCUCCCACUAGUUUCUCCCUACCUGCCUUCAAUCCUCUCUCUACUUCCUCUGCCCUUCCUUCCCCACCCCAGAGUCCAGCUCCCCCUGCCCCCUUUCCGUGCUGCCUUCUCCCCCACCUUCCCCUCAAUCUGCCUUCAUUCCUCCUACUCCAUCCUCUACCCUUCCUUCCUCCCCAGCCCACCUCCCCCUGUCCCCUCUCCCUACUGCCCAGUACACCCCGACACCCCCACCUGCCCUCCGUCCUUGGCUCCCGCUGUCCAUCCCCUCUGCCCCCCUAUUCCCGCCCUCCAUCCUCUCCUUCUUUCCCCCGCAGCCGCGGGGCUCGGGGCGCCGCAGAAUAA